rnacentral:tRNA from 1 species
GGGCGAGUAGAUCAGUGGUAGAUCGCUACAUUGGCAUUGUAGAGGCCGCGGAUUCAAUUUCCGCCUCGUCCA